UUUGGGACAGUGUCUACGCGCUUCGACCUGCUUUCAAUCAGGCUACUUUCUUCUACCUUUAUUUUUAAUUUAAUAUUAGUAGAUUGGUAGGAUUUGAAAUUCUAUGAUAUAAACUUAUUAAAUGCAUAGAUUUACUUUGUGCUAGAAUAGAUUUAUUUUGUAUUAAAAUAGAAUUAUUUGGAUGCCGAAUGAUAUGCAUGUAUAUUAUUUCCUUUAAGUUUUUUUUAUUAAUUGAAUUUAUAGA
rnacentral:lncRNA from 1 species